AGCAAUGGCGGACUCCCCUCUCCUAGCCAGGCUGCAGCCUUGCUGGUCGAUCUCAGAGUGCUGUGCUAGCCGUCAUCAAGGCUCCAUGGACAUGGGACCCGCCAAGCCCGGCACUGGAGAGAAUCGCCUGAUCUGCGGGUUGCUGAGACUGUGGGAAAAGCACAGUAUUUGGAUGGGAGUUUCCCAUUUUUUCCAGCAGUUUGAUUAUAAUGUAUCUAGUUGUGGAGCUCUUUGAGUUUAUUCUACUUGGAGUUCAUUGGCCUUCUGGAUGUGUAGAUUCAACAGUCUAUCAAAUUUGGUAUUUUACCAUUCAGAACAUACACAUGGGCAAAGACUUCAUGAC
rnacentral:lncRNA from 1 species